rnacentral:rRNA from 1 species
GAUGAACGCUGGCGGUAUGCUUAACACAUGCAAGUCGAACGGACACUUCGGAGUUAGGGGCGGACGGGGGAGUAACGCGUGAGAAUCUGGCUUUGGGGUCGGGACAACCACUGGAAACGGUGGCUAAUACCGGAUGUGACGAGAGGUAAAAGAGAAAAUGCCUGAAGAUGAGCUCGCGUCUGAUUAGCUAGUUGGUGAGGUAAAGGCACAUCAAGGCAGCGAUCAGUAGCUGGUCUGAGCGGAUGACCAGCCACACCGCGACUGAGACACGGCCCAGACACCUCCGCGGGGCAGCAGUGGGGAAUUUUCCGCCAUGGGCGAAUGCCUGACGGAGCUCUACCGCGCGUGGGAAUCAGUCUCUUGGGUUGUAAACCUCUUUUCUUAGCGAAGAACAACUUGACGGUACCUAAUGAAUCAGCAUCGGCUAACUCCGUG